rnacentral:rRNA from 1 species
UACAGGGGUCUCAAGCGUUGUUCGGAUUCAUUGGGCGUAAAGGGUGUGUAGGUGGCGCCGUAAGUCGGGUGUGAAAUUUCGGAGCUUAACUCCGAAACUGCAUUCGAUACUGCGGUGCUUGAGGACUGGAGAGGAGACUGGAAUUCAUGGUGUAGCAGUGAAAUGCGUAGAGAUCAUGAGGAAGACCAGUGGCGAAGGCGGGUCUCUGGGCCGAUACUGACGCUGAGGAGCGAAAGCGUGGGGAGCGAACAGG